rnacentral:sRNA from 1 species
GAGAACCAGAAUACCAUACAAGCCAAACUAUAGCCUCAAUUUAUGGAGCAUCAUGAAGAACUGCAUUGGAAAAGAACUCUCUAAGAUCCCCAUGCCGGUAAAUUUUAAUGAGCCCUUGUCCAUGCUUCAGCGCCUUACUGAAGAUCUGGAAUACCAUGAGCUGUUAGACCGAGCUGCAAAAUGUGAGAAUUCUCUAGAACAGCUCUGUUAUGUUGCAGCUUUCACCGUGUCCUCCUACUCCACUACUGUCUUCCGCACCAGUAAGCCAUUCAACCCACUGCUUGGGGAGACCUUUGAGCUGGACCGAUUAGAGGAGAAUGGGUACCGAUCCCUCUGUGAACAGGUAAAGGAACCUCAGGACCAUAACGCAUUUCCUUUCUGAAGAAAGAGAUGAUUUUUUGGUUAAUCCCCUGGGUCUUAUGUUUGCAGAAAUUCUAGUCCCCGUCAUCCCAGCUUUUAUUCUUUUUCUUCAGAACUUCAGCGUUGGAGACCCUGGAGGUUCUGGGAUUCACCUACUGUUGUGGGUGUAAAAACGUCAAGUGUGAAUUUUGGUGUUUCUCACCAAUUUAUAGGCAGUAUCUUUUCUUCUCCUUUCUGCCGUCUUAAUUUGAACCUGAUUUCUUCAAGGUGAGUCAUCAUCCCCCUGCUGCUGCGCACCAUGCUGAGUCCAAAAAUGGCUGGACAUUGCGUCAGGAAAUCAAAAUCACCAGCAAGUUUCGAGGCAAAUACCUCUCCAUUAUGCCCCUCGGUAAGGUUACCAUCUUUGUCAGAAUUAAUGCUCCUAGAAUGAAAGGUUUUCUGGCAUGAUGGAGGAGGUCACUGGCUCAAGAGUCAGGAGACAGGAGGUCUGAUUCGAGCACUGACCCUCACUA